GUAGGUGGCAAGCGUUGUCCGGAAUUAUUGGGCGUAAAGCGCGCGCAGGCGGUCCUUUAAGUCUGAUGUGAAAGCCCACGGGCUCAACCGUGGAGGGUCAUUGGAAACUGGGGGACUUGAGUACAGAAGAGGAAAGCGGAAUUCCAAGUGUAGCGGUGAAAUGCGUAGAGAUUUGGAGGAACACCAGUGGCGAAGGCGGCUUUCUGGUCUGUAACUGACGCUGAGGCGCGAAAGCGUGGGGAGCAAACAGGAUUAGAUACCCUGGUAGUCCACGCCGUAAACGAUGAGUGCUAAGUGUUAGGGGGUUUCCGCCCCUUAGUGCUGCAGCUAACGCAUUAAGCACUCCGCCUGGGGAGUAUGGCCGCAAAGGCUG
rnacentral:rRNA from 1 species